rnacentral:rRNA from 1 species
UACAGAGGGUGCAAGCGUUGUUCGGAAUUACUGGGCGUAAAGGGCGCGUAGGCGGUCUUGUAAGUCAGAUGUGAAAGCCCAGGGCUUAACCCUGGAAGUGCAUUUGAAACUGCAAGACUUGAGUGAUGUAGAGGUUGGUGGAAUUCCUAGUGGAGAGGUGAAAUUCGUAGAUAUUAGGAGGAACACCGGUGGCGAAGGCGGCCAACUGGGCAUUAACUGACGCUGAGGCGCGAGAGCAUGGGGAGCAAACAGG